AUAGCACAGAAAGCAUGGACCCUACUCAGAUCAAGACUGCAAUCGUGGACGUUGUAAACACCUCGCGCAUUCUCGUGCAGUCUAUGCUGAACCAGGACCUGCA